rnacentral:rRNA from 1 species
GAUGAACGCUAGCGGCGGGCUUAACACAUGCAAGUCGAGGGGCAGCACGGGUAGCAAUACCUGGUGGCGACCGGCGCAAGGGUGCGUAACGCGUGAGCAACAUGCCCUAUACAGGGGGAUAAUCCAGGGAAACUUGGUCUAAUAUCCCAUAGUAUUUAGAGGAGGCAUCUUCUAUAAAUUAAAGCUUCGGUGGUAUAGGAUUGGCUCGCGUGACAUUAGCUAGAUGGUGAGGUAACGGCUCACCAUGGCAAUGAUGUCUAGGGGUUCUGAGAGGAAGGCCCCCCACACUGGGACUGAGACACGGCCCAGACUCCUACGGGAGGCAGCAGUGAGGAAUAUUGGACAAUGGAUGGAAAUCUGAUCCAGCCAUGCCGCGUGCAGGAAGACAGCCCUAUGGGUUGUAAACUGCUUUUAUAUGGGAGCAAUAAGGUCUACGUGUAGACUGAUGAGAGUACCAUAUGAAUAAGCAUCGG